CAUCAUUCACUUCCUUAGACGCUUCCAUUGAUGCAAAAGUCAGAAACUAGAGUAACAGAAACUGACAGCUGAGAGAGAAAGAGUCAUAAAUCAUAAUUAAAUGAAAAUCCUAAAAUUCUCAUUCUUAAAUUUGUACAUAAUUUAAUUUAAUCUGAAUAAUCUCUUUUUCUCUCUUUCUCUCUGUUCGUGUGGGUCAAAUAUCAAUGGCCGACGAUGAUGCUUCUCCUCUAAUACCUCCUUCUCCGAUUACCGAACCUUCUGAGAUCGACCUUGAAGCUGGCCCCGGCGAGCAAAUUCAGUGCCGUAUUUGCCUCGAAACUGACGGUAGGGAUUUUAUCGCGCCAUGCAAAUGCAAAGGAACAUCAAAGUAUGUACAUCGGGAAUGUUUGGACCAUUGGCGAGCUGUGAGGGAAGGGUUUGCAUUUGCUCAUUGCACAACCUGCAAAGCCCCUUAUCAUUUGAGAGUUCAUGUUGCUGCAGACAGGAAGUGGCGUACUCUGAAAUUUCGGUUCUUUGUGACUAGGGACAUUGCAUUUAUAUUUUUGGCUGUUCAGCUUGUAAUUGCUUCACUUGCAUACUUGGUGUAUUUAAUUGAUAGUUAUCAGCAAUCCUGGCUUCGCCAUACAUGGGGCUUUGAUAAUGAGCUUAGUUUCUACUAUAUAUGUGGAGCAUUGUUGUUUUUUGCUUUGCUGGGGCUAUCUGGGUGCUUCAUCACAUGUUAUGAUCGAAGAGUUCGCAGUGAUUUGGCUCAACCUUGUCGAGAAUUAUGUCUCUGUUGCUGUCAGCCUGGAAUGUGUGCAGACUGCCAUUUACCUGGCACGCUUUGUAUGUGGACUGACUGUACCACUUGCUUUGAGAGCUGUGCAAGUGCUGCUGGUGAAUGUGGUUGCUUGGGAGGUGCUGGUGAAGCAGGGCUGCCAUUGUUAUUUAUAAUGGCUCUGGUUGUGCUGGGACUAUUUACUGUGAUUGGCAUAUUCUACAGUGUUUUGGUAGCUACUAUGGUUGGUCAACGAAUUUGGCAGCGGCAUUAUCACAUACUUGCAAAAAGGAUGCUAACAAAAGAAUAUGUGGUUGAGGAUGUUGAUGGCGAGAUGACAGGCUCUGAUUGGUCUCCUCCUCCUCUCCCACCUGAGCAUGUUCAGCAGCUGAAACAUCUGGGUCUCCUAUGAGUAAAAGGGGCGACGUAUCAUUGAUCACAAGAAUAACAUACUGUAGAGAUGGACUGGUACUCUAUUUUGGUAGGGGCACAGCUAUUGUUUCCUUACUGAUAAGUAUGCAGGCAGGUGAAGUGACCAAGCAACCACCACCAACUAUGUAGAUGACAUGUGCAGGUUGAAACAAGGCUGACAGGCAAAAGGGCAGGGGGAUGGAGGUAUUUUGUUUUUGGUGAUUUGAUUUUUCUUUUAUUUUUUUGUUUAUUUUCAAUUCACAAGUUCUGUUUCGUUAGGUAGAUUCUUAGUACAUAAUUAUUGUUUACAGUUCUUAUCUUGUGUUUUAGGAAUCUGUCUAUGUGCCCUUUAGAAAAAAAAAAAGAAAAGAAAGAAAAAGAAGAAAGGAAUCUGGAUUAGGUACAUUGGAUUAUGUCAAACUUGUAUAUUUGGCCAUUCAGAACACAACAAACUGUAAAAUUGACUUCACGCAUUGUCUAUGUUGAUAAUAUUUCUAAUGAAAUGUUUGGCCAUCCAAA